GUUGGGUUCCAUUACGAGCGUUGCAGGCAGUAAAACUAGAACAGCAAUUGGCGACAUGUAAAGCAGUAGAUUCAUGGAGUUCAACUUUUCCCCUUCAUUGGAAAGAAGGACGCCUUGAAGAACAGACUUAAAGGCUCUAGCAGCAGUUGCACCUAUACACAUGAUAAAUCCAUAAAGGUGGAAGCUUGGCUCACCCCCACUAGCAAUCACAACACCAGCAACCACAGGAACAAGACAACCAUAAGUAAUCCAAGCUUCCCUCUUCUGAGUGAUCAGAUAAGCAAACAAAGCUGUGAAAAACGGUGUCGUUGCACCGACAGCUUGAUUGAAUGAUACAGGAAGAUACCUUAAAGAAAUGUUCCCACCCACAACAGACCCACAAAAGACAAUGCUAAGAGUAGCA
rnacentral:misc_RNA from 1 species